CCUACGGGUGGCUGCAGUGAGGAAUAUUGGUCAAUGGGCGCUAGCCUGAACCAGCCAAGUAGCGUGAAGGAUGACUGCCCUAUGGGUUGUAAACUUCUUUUAUAUGGGAAUAAAGUGCAGUAUGUAUACUGUUUUGCAUGUACCAUAUGAAUAAGGAUCGGCUAACUCCGUGCCAGCAGCCGCGGUAAUACGGAGGAUCCGAGCGUUAUCCGGAUUUAUUGGGUUUAAAGGGAGCGUAGGCGGGUUGUUAAGUCAGUUGUGAAAGUUUGCGGCUCAACCGUAAAAUUGCAGUUGAUACUGGCAGCCUUGAGUGCAGUAGAGGUAGGCGGAAUGCGUGGUGUAGCGGUGAAAUGCUGAGAUAUCACGAAGAACUCCGAUUGCGAAGGCAGCCUACUGGACUGUAACUGACGCUGAUGCUCGAAAGUGUGGGUAUCAAACAGGAUUAGAUACCCCAGUAGUC
rnacentral:rRNA from 1 species